rnacentral:rRNA from 1 species
UGCCAGCCGCCGCGGUAAUACAGAGGGUGCAAACGUUGUUCGGAAUUACUGGGCGUAAAGCGCGUGUAGGCGGCAUGUUAAGUCGACUGUGAAAGCCCAUAGCUCAACUAUGGAACUGCCUUUGAUACUGCAAAUCUUGAGUUCGGAAGGGAGAGGCGGAAUUCCAGGUGUAGUGGUGAAAUACGUAGAUAUCUGGAAGAACACCAGAGGCGAAGGCGGUCUCUUGGUCCGAAACUGACGCUGAGGCGCGAAAGCGUGGGGAGCAAACAGGAUUAGAUA